AAGAUAGCAGACGAAUGGUAGAGACGGGGGAUGGGGGACGUGUCGAAGCCAGUGUUGGACCAACGCUGACCCUUCGGCGCGCGGGGGUUGUAGAUGGCGGGCUUACCAACCGGACCAGCAGCAAGGGACAUACCCAGGGGCAUGUUCAACGUGUUAAGGGUGCGGUCGGAGUAGCCGGCGGUACCGUUCUCACCACCGUUGACCAUG
rnacentral:misc_RNA from 1 species